ACAUGUACGGAAGAGAACAACAGGGCAGCCCCCAAGGAAUUAAAAACAAAAUCCUAAUGUUGCAAUCCUAUGUGCACCUAAUUCUAUUAGAAUUCUAUUUCACUUCUAAUUCCAUUAGGUUCCAAGGGGCUUACUCCCAAGCAAAUCCCUCUUUAGCCAUUCUCCCUCAUGUAAGGAGGAGACUGGAGACAAGUCCAUUCAUCCUGUCUGCUCCUUGCAUCCUGGUCUCUUGAUUCACCAUCUUCUGUGUACAGUGGUACCUUGGUUCUCAAACUUAAUCCAUUCCGGAAGUCCGUUCCAAAACCAAAGCGUUCCAAAACCAAGGUGCGCUUUCCCAUAGAAAGUAAUGCAAAAUGGAUUAUUCCGUUCCAGACUUUGAAAAACAACCCCUAAAACAGCAAUUUAGCAUGAAUUUUACUAUCUAACGAGACCAUUGAUCCAUAAAAUGAAAGCAAUAAACAGUGUACUGCAGUCACACAAUCAAUCAAUCAGGAGCUGAACUGGGUUCCACACAGUCACAAAAACAAAACAAAAAGAGCUGC